AAGUUGGAGGUAGAAUUCAUACGAUCAGAAAAGGUUUUGCACCAGGUCUUUACGGUGAAGGUGGCGCAAUGAGACUCCCCUAUAACCACUUUCUAACAAGGCACUAUAUAAAACUGUUCCAUAUCGACAUUAUACCAUUUCAAAAUUUCAACGAAAAUGCCUUUAUUACUGUUAACGGAGACCCGCCUAUAAAGAUAUCAGAGUGGUUAGAACAUGAAGACACAUACUGUAGUAAAUAUUGGCCAGGAUGGGACACCUAGCUGAAGAAGACAGAGGGAUUAAAACAGAGACUUAAGAUAAAUGGAAUUAGUAAGUAGAAAUGAAGUUACAGUAAACACU